GAUGAACGCUGGCGGCGUGCCUAAUACAUGCAAGUCGAGCGAACGGACGAGAAGCUUGCUUCUUUGAUGUUAGCGGCGGACGGGUGAGUAACACGUGGAUAACCUACCUAUAAGACUGGGAUAACUUCGGGAAACCGGAGCUAAUACCGGAUAAUAUUUUGAACCGCAUGGUUCAAAAGUGAAAGACGGUCUUGCUGUCACUUAUAGAUGGAUCCGCGCUGCAUUAGCUAGUUGGUAAGGUAACGGCUUACCAAGGCAACGAUGCAUAGCCGACCUGAGAGGGUGAUCGGCCACACUGGAACUGAGACACGGUCCAGACUCCUACGGGAGGCAGCAGUAGGGAAUCUUCCGCAAUGGGCGAAAGCCUGACGGAGCAACGCCGCGUGAGUGAUGAAGGUCUUCGGAUCGUAAAACUCUGUUAUUAGGGAAGAACAUAUGUGUAAGUAACUGUGCACAUCUUGACGGUACCUAAUCAGAAAGCCACGGCUAACUACGUGCCAGCAGCCGCGGUAAUACGUAGGUGGCAAGCGUUAUCCGGAAUUAUUGGGCGUAAAGCGCGCGUAGGCGGUUUUUUAAGUCUGAUGUGAAAGCCCACGGCUCAACCGUGGAGGGUCAUUGGAAACUGGAAAACUUGAGUGCAGAAGAGGAAAGUGGAAUUCCAUGUGUAGCGGUGAAAUGCGCAGAGAUAUGGAGGAACACCAGUGGCGAAGGCGACUUUCUGGUCUGUAACUGACGCUGAUGUGCGAAAGCGUGGGGAUCAAACAGGAUUAGAUACCCUGGUAGUCCACGCCGUAAACGAUGAGUGCUAAGUGUUAGGGGGUUUCCGCCCCUUAGUGCUGCAGCUAACGCAUUAAGCACUCCGCCUGGGGAGUACGACCGCAAGGUUGAAACUCAAAGGAAUUGACGGGGACCCGCACAAGCGGUGGAGCAUGUGGUUUAAUUCGAAGCAACGCGAAGAACCUUACCAAAUCUUGACAUCCUUUGACAACUCUAGAGAUAGAGCCUUCCCCUUCGGGGGACAAAGUGACAGGUGGUGCAUGGUUGUCGUCAGCUCGUGUCGUGAGAUGUUGGGUUAAGUCCCGCAACGAGCGCAACCCUUAAGCUUAGUUGCCAUCAUUAAGUUGGGCACUCUAAGUUGACUGCCGGUGACAAACCGGAGGAAGGUGGGGAUGACGUCAAAUCAUCAUGCCCCUUAUGAUUUGGGCUACACACGUGCUACAAUGGACAAUACAAAGGGCAGCGAAACCGCGAGGUCAAGCAAAUCCCAUAAAGUUGUUCUCAGUUCGGACUGUAGUCUGCAACUCGACUACAUGAAGCUGGAAUCGCUAGUAAUCGUAGAUCAGCAUGCUACGGUGAAUACGUUCCCGGGUCU
rnacentral:rRNA from 1 species